rnacentral:lncRNA from 13 species
AUGAUGGAGGCCAUUGUGUUCUUUUUUUGGUACCCUUCCCCAGAUCUGUGCCUCAACACUGUCCUGUCUCAGAGAUUUUACACUUGUCGGACUUGGCAGGGCUUGCAAACUAUUACAGAUUACAAAGUGAAGCACAGCCGAGAGCUGCCUAGUGACACAAGCCUACCAGACAAACUAAAUGACUUCUAUGCUCGCUUCGAGGCAAGUAACAAUGAAACAUGCAUGAGAGCAUCAGUUGUUCCGGACAACUGUGUGAUCAAGCUCUCCGCCGCUGAUGUGAGUAAGACCUUUCAACAGGUCAACAUUCACAAGGCCGCAGGUCCAGACGGAUUACCAGGACGUGUACACCGAACAUGUGCUGACCAACUGGCAAGUGUCUUUACUGACAUUUUCAACCUCUCCCAGUCUGAGUCUGUAAUACCAACAUGUUUCAUGCAGACCACCAUAGUCCCUGUGCCCAAGAACACUAAAGCAACCUGCCUAAAUGACUACAGAUCCAUAGCACUCACGUUUCUAGCCAUGAAGUGCUUUGAAAGGCUGGUCAUGGCUCACAUCAACACCAUUAGCCCAGAAACCCUAGACCACCUCCAAUUUGCAUACUGCCCCAACAGAUCCACAGAUGAUACAAUCUCUAUUGCAUUCAACACUGCCCCUUCACACCUGGACAAAAGGAACACUUACGUGAGAAUGCUAUUCAUUGACUACAGCUCAGCAUUCAACACCAUAGUACCCUCAAAGCUCAUCACUAAGCUAAGGAUCCUGGGACUAAACACCUCACUCUGCAACUGGAUCCUGGACUUCCAGACGGGCCGCCCCCAGGUGGUGAGGGUAGGUAGCAACACAUCUGCCACUCUGAUCCUCAACACUGGAGCUCCCCAGGGGUGCGUGCUCAGUCCCCUCCAGUACUCCCUGUUCACCCACGAUUGCAUGGCCAGGCACGACUCCAACACCAUCAUUAAGUUUGCAGACAACAACAGUGGUAGGCCUGAUCACCGACCACAACGAGACAGCCAUAUGGGGAGGAAGUCAGAGAUCUGGCCGGGUGGUGACAGAAUAACAACCUAUCCCUCAACGUAA